CGUUAUAACCGGCGAUGUCCGAAUGGGGAAACCCGGUGCACUUCGGUGCAUCAUCGUUAGCUGAAUACAUAGGCUAACGAGGCGAACCGGGGGAACUGAAACAUCUAAGUACCCCGAGGAAAAGAAAUCAACCGAGAUUCCCCCAGUAGCGGCGAGCGAACGGGGAACAGCCCAGAGCCUGAAUCAGCUUGUGUGUCAGUGGAACGGUCUGGAAAGGCCGGCGAUACAGGGUGACAGCCCCGUACACGAAGGCACACAGGCUGUGAGCUCGAUGAGUAGGGCGGGACACGUGAUAUCCUGUCUGAAGAUGGGGGGACCAUCCUCCAAGGCUAAAUACUCCUGACUGACCGAUAGUGAACCAGUACCGUGAGGGAAAGGCGAAAAGAACCCCGGCGAGGGGAGUGAAACAGAACCUGAAACCGUGUACGUACAAGCAGUGGGAGCCUUCGUAAGAGGGUGACUGCGUACCUUUUGUAUAAUGGGUCAGCGACUUAUAUUCUGUAGCAAGGUUAACCGUAUAGGGGAGCCGAAGGGAAACCGAGUCUUAACCGGGCGUUAAGUUGCAGGGUAUAGACCCGAAACCCGGUGAUCUAGCCAUGGGCAGGUUGAAGGUUGGGUAACACUAACUGGAGGACCGAACCGACUAAUGUUGAAAAAUUAGCGGAUGACCUGUGGCUGGGGGUGAAAGGCCAAUCAAACCGGGAGAUAGCUGGUUCUCCCCGAAAGCUAUUUAGGUAGCGCCUCGUGAACUCAUCUCCGGGGGUAGAGCACUGUUUCGGCUAGGGGGCCAUCCCGGCUUACCAACCCGAUGCAAACUGCGAAUACCGGAGAAUGUUAUCACGGGAGACACACGGCGGGUGCUAACGUCCGUCGUGAAGAGGGAAACAACCCAGACCGCCAGCUAAGGUCCCAAAGUCAUGGUUAAGUGGGAAACGAUGUGGGAAGGCCCAGACAGCCAGGAUGUUGGCUUAGAAGCAGCCAUCAUUUAAAGAAAGCGUAAUAGCUCACUGGUCGAGUCGGCCUGCGCGGAAGAUGUAACGGGGCUAAACCAUGCACCGAAGCUGCGGCAGCGACACUGUGUGUUGUUGGGUAGGGGAGCGUUCUGUAAGCCUGCGAAGGUGUGCUGUGAGGCAUGCUGGAGGUAUCAGAAGUGCGAAUGCUGACAUAAGUAACGAUAAAGCGGGUGAAAAGCCCGCUCGCCGGAAGACCAAGGGUUCCUGUCCAACGUUAAUCGGGGCAGGGUGAGUCGACCCCUAAGGCGAGGCCGAAAGGCGUAGUCGAUGGGAAACAGGUUAAUAUUCCUGUACUUGGUGUUACUGCGAAGGGGGGACGGAGAAGGCUAUGUCGGCCGGGCGACGGUUGUCCCGGUUUAAGCGUGUAGGCUGACUUUCCAGGCAAAUCCGGAAGGUUAAGGCUGAGGCGUGAUGACGAGGCACCACGGUGCUGAAGUGACAAAUGCCCUGCUUCCAGGAAAAGCCUCUAAGCAUCAGGUAACAUCAAAUCGUACCCCAAACCGACACAGGUGGUCAGGUAGAGAAUACCAAGGCGCUUGAGAGAACUCGGGUGAAGGAACUAGGCAAAAUGGUGCCGUAACUUCGGGAGAAGGCACGCUGACAUGUAGGUGAAGCCCCUGCGGGUGGAGCUGAAGUCAGUCGAAGAUACCAGCUGGCUGCAACUGUUUAUUAAAAACACAGCACUGUGCAAACACGAAAGUGGACGUAUACGGUGUGACGCCUGCCCGGUGCCGGAAGGUUAAUUGAUGGGGUUAUCGCAAGAGAAGCUCCUGAUCGAAGCCCCGGUAAACGGCGGCCGUAACUAUAACGGUCCUAAGGUAGCGAAAUUCCUUGUCGGGUAAGUUCCGACCUGCACGAAUGGCGUAAUGAUGGCCAGGCUGUCUCCACCCGAGACUCAGUGAAAUUGAACUCGCUGUGAAGAUGCAGUGUACCCGCGGCAAGACGGAAAGACCCCGUGAACCUUUACUACAGCUUGACACUGAACAUUGAGCCUUGAUGUGUAGGAUAGGUGGGAGGCUUUGAAGCGUGGACGCCAGUCUGCGUGGAGCCGACCUUGAAAUACCACCCUUUAAUGUUUGAUGUUCUAACCUGGCGCCGUGAUCCGGCGUGGGGACAGUGUCUGGUGGGUAGUUUGACUGGGGCGGUCUCCUCCCAAAGUGUAACGGAGGAGCACGAAGGUCAGCUAAUCCUGGUCGGACAUCAGGAGGUUAGUGCAAUGGCAUAAGCUGGCUUGACUGCGAGAGUGACGGCUCGAGCAGGUGCGAAAGCAGGUCAUAGUGAUCCGGUGGUUCUGUAUGGAAGGGCCAUCGCUCAACGGAUAAAAGGUACUCCGGGGAUAACAGGCUGAUACCGCCCAAGAGUUCAUAUCGACGGCGGUGUUUGGCACCUCGAUGUCGGCUCAUCACAUCCUGGGGCUGAAGUAGGUCCCAAGGGUAUGGCUGUUCGCCAUUUAAAGUGGUACGCGAGCUGGGUUUAGAACGUCGUGAGACAGUUCGGUCCCUAUCUGCCGUGGGCGCUGGAGAAUUGAGGGGGGCUGCUCCCAGUACGAGAGGACCGGAGUGGACGCAUCACUGGUGUUCGGGUUGUCAUGCCAAUGGCACUGCCCGGUAGCUAAAUGCGGAAGAGAUAAGUGCUGAAAGCAUCUAAGCACGAAACUUGCCCCGAGAUGAGUUCUCCCUGAGACUGUAAGUCUCCUGAAGGAACGUUGAAGACGACGACGUUGAUAGGCCGGGUGUGUAAGCGCAGCGAUGCGUUGAGCUAACCGGUACUAAUGAACCGUGAGGCUUAACCUUACAACGCCAAAGAAGU
rnacentral:rRNA from 1 species